rnacentral:rRNA from 1 species
UACGGGGGGGGUAAGCGUUGUUCGGAAUUACUGGGCGUAAAGGGCUCGUAGGCGGCCAACUAAGUCAGACGUGAAAUCCCUCAGCUUAACUGGGGAACUGCGUCUGAUACUGGAUGGCUUGGAUUCGGGAGAGGAAUGCGGAAUUCCAGGUGUAGCGGUGAAAUGCGUAGAUAUCUGGAGGAACACCGGUGGCGAAGGCGGCAUUCUGGACCGGCAUUGACGCUGAGGAGCGAAAGCUAGGGGAGCAAACGGG